rnacentral:tRNA from 1 species
GAUAAGGUGGCUGAAUUUAGGCUAUAAAUUGUAAAUUUAUAUAUGGUAUCAUACCUCUUAUCA